rnacentral:lncRNA from 1 species
CAAAACCCUCUGUGGCUUAAGUCGUGAAACUAUCCUGGUCUUUAUAGAUCCUUCUGGUAUAAAAGGAAAGCCUGUACAAGAAUUCUGCUUAUCAAAUAAUCCCUGUAGAGAAGAUAAGUACGAUCAAUGACUUUUGAUUUACUUUGUGCAUCAAAAGCACACUGCUCUGUCUUCAACAGCACAGCUACUAAACAGCAUGUCCUUGUGAAAAUGCUGGUACGCUUCUCAGCAACUCAGUCAGCAGGCUGUCCUCGGUACGCCUGCAGCAGCUCCAGCAGUGUGUCCACACAGUGUUCAGCAUCGCGAAUGGCUGAGAUCAUACUUUGCCCCAUUCAGCAAUGCUUGGACAGCAUAUCCAACAACUUCCAUACAAGGAACACUACGAUUACAGCUUCGGAUUACAACAAAGAUCGCAGAGAGCGCUCCGCUUUCAGCCAUGUUCUCACAGCAAAAUGGAGAUAACUUGGUAACAACCUCCAGGUUCAUCGCACCCAGAGUGGCCGAUGAGUGUCUGUAUGUGAGCAGGUGAUGAAUGAAGUGCACGCUCAGUUCUUCUGUACAGCUUGUUUUCCUCCUCCACGUUCCUGCUGACACCUCAAAGGCUUCAUCAAAUAGCUUUAGUUUCUGUGCAAUCAUUUUUCUUCUUCAAAGCAUAGCCUCUCCAUAAUGCCUGGAUUCUAGUGAGCUGCUAGGAGAAAGCGGCAUACUGCCUUCUGUGUCAUGGAUGCAGCCCUAUCCUGCUGGUGCCAACAUGCUGAAACUUCACGUCCAGCCUUUAUGAUCGUAUGAUACUGGACAGUUUUUAAGAUGUAUUUAUUGGCUAUCAAUAUUUUUAGUUAAGUAGUAAUGCAACUGUUUGUGAUUCUUUUUGGAAACAGUCUGUUCAGUCUAUUUGCCCAUUUAUUGAUUAGCUCAUUGGGGAUAUUGGUGUUUGAUUAAAAAACAAACAUUUAGUUCUUUAUGUAUUUCAAACAUUAAUCUUAUCACAAGUGAAACUGGCAAAGACUUCAUGCUCCAUGUACUUUGAUUUUAGAAUUUUUUUCUUAUUCUAAAAUAGUUUAUUUAAACAUACCAGGAAGUAUAAGGAAAAUAAAGUGUGUGAUUUAUCACCAUU